AGUGUUAAAAUGGUGAAAGCCACAGACCUUAACUACCCCUCAGUUGUUGGUACAUUGCUUAAUGCUCUAAAAACGUGUUAAACAACAGUGCUGGAGCCAGAGUACUUAUGCAGUACUUUCUCAGGAGCAAUUAGCGUUUUAUGCCAGAUCUGCCAAGAUAAACAACCUAGUGCUUCAUUUGUUUACAGUAGUGGCAGUUUUCUUUCUUUCUCUUGUCUUUCUUUGAUUAUCACUUUCUCUGUUUUCGCUCUGGCGGCGCAGAUGGAGUGGAAAUAAUAGCGCUAAUGAUUCUGGUGUAUUCGGCGAGACUGACUUCACCUUUGACCUCUGAUGUCACCCGCGAUAAUGUCAGAACUCAGUAUUGGAACGUGAUAAGAGGAAGCACAUCCUUUUCCCAGUCACAUCUGCGCAGAAUGCGAUUCAAACCUCUGGCAGAUGCAGUCAACGUUGUCAUUUUUACGUAACAUUAGGUCAAGUUCUUCCAGUACACUUCCCUCCAGUAGAGAGUGGACACCAGCCGGAUGGGAACAAUCAGCCCAAGUGGUCACCAGCACGUUCUUUCUGGGAAUAAUUGCCAAAGAUACACUUUCAGACCGGCCCGAUGUCCACUGAACCGUUUCUUUUGAAAAGACAGAAGUGGCUUCUAUUGCAUGAAUGGAAAAGUACGGCAGAAUGAUUGAAAACUAACAAGCCC